rnacentral:rRNA from 1 species
AGUGAACGCUGGCGGUAGGCCUAACACAUGCCAGUCGAACGGCAGCACAGUAAUAGCUUGUUGUUACGGGUGGCGAGUGGCGGACGGGUGCGGAAUACAUCGGAAUCUACUUUUUCGUGCGGGCUAACGCGGGCACACUUACGCCAUUAGCCCAUACGACCUACGGGUGAAAGCAUCGGACCUUCCGCUCUUACACGAUUGUAUGUGCCGAUGUCGGAUUAGCUAGUUGGCGGGGUAAAGGCCCACCAAGGCGACGAUCCGUAGCUGGUCUGAGAGGAUGAUCAGCCACACUGGAACUGAGACACGGUCCAGACUCCUACGGGAGGCAGCAGUGGGGAAUAUUGGACAAUGGGCGCAAGCCUGAUCCAGCCAUGCCGCGUGGGUGAAGAAGGCCUUCGGAUUGUAAAGCCCUUUUGGUGGGAAAGAAAAGCAGUAGGUUAAUACCCCGCUGUUCUGACGGUACCCAAAGAAUAAGCACCGGCUAACUUCGUG